GGGGAUUUAGCUCAGUGGUAGAGCGCUUGCGCAAGGCCCUGGGUUCGAUCCCCAGCUCCG
rnacentral:tRNA from 1 species